UAGCAACACAGAAAGUGAGAGGAAAAUUGACAGAAUGGUGCCAGGUAUCAAGCAGUGCGCUAGAAGCUGGGGAGGCUAUUACAAACAAGACAUAAUCUUGUUCUAAGGCUCUCAAAUUCUAAUUGGAGAAAAAUCAAAUGAAGAAAGAGAGGCAUAUAUAAUAUUCUGCUGGAGGAGGUGAGACGGUUGCUCCACAAGGAAAAAUUAGAACAAUACAAAGGAUGUGUCGAGAAUAGAACUUCCAGACAAAUGAAAUAGAACGUUCAAAAAUCCAAAAAUGAGAAAUCUGAAGACAUAUGUACCUCAAGGUGGGCUAUGGUAUCUCCCUGACUCCAGUUUAUACAGCGCAGAUAAGCAGCAUUAAAAGGAAAAACGGAAAAGCGAUAUGUAGCUCUGAUGUUACACCGUUAAUUCUGAGCAGACUCACUGAGAUUAAAAGGAAUGAUGCUUUCCCUAACUUGAACCUUUGGCACUAACCACCAUUCAAUUUCCUGGAAAAUAAGGAUUUUUAAUAUGUGAGAACAGACUCCUGACCUAUCUUAAUCAUAAUAUCUGAAUUAAUCAAUGCCAAAUGAAGGAAAAAAGGGAAAAAUUCCAUUCUUCCUCCAAAUAUCCAGAUUGUAAGUAAGUAUACAUUAAGGAUAUCCUCAUAUACAUGGGACACAUUUGGUUACAGAACAGUACCUGUGAAGUAUUAUUGCUAAUCAUAUAAGGACUCUCACAGACCAAGUAAGAGAGAAUCAGAAAUGUAUCUCUAGUAUCAAGGAGACUAAGCAUGCUGUCAGAUAUUAGGGUACCAAAGUCAAUGACACAGUCCCUGUUCUCACGAAGCUUGCAUGAAGUACUGUAUUAAGUUUACAAUGUCUAGUGCAUUUGGAGAUAUUAGUACCUAACACCAUGAUCCUGGAUCAGAAACAUCAUUAAAUAAAUAGCAUGUCUACCACAUUGGUUUUACUAUAGCCAUAGUGAAUUAUGGAUCCUGGUCUGAAGACACAUACACAUUUACAUCUCCAUAUCUUCAUACACAUUUCCCCAUAGAUUAUAG